UACGUAGGCAGCAAGCGUUGUUCGGAGUUACUGGGCGUAAAGGGUGCGUAGGCGGUUGUUUAAGUUUGGUGUGAAAUCUCCCGGCUCAACUGGGAGGGUGCGCCGAAUACUGAAUGACUAGAGUGCGGAGAGGAGAGUGGAAUUCCUGGUGUAGCGGUGAAAUGCGUAGAUAUCAGGAGGAACACCGGUGGUGUAGACGGCUCUCUGGACCGUAACUGACGCUGAGGCACGAAAGCGUGGGUAGCAAACAGG
rnacentral:rRNA from 1 species